AGAAGGCUGAGGUGGGUGGAUAUCUUGAGGCCAGGAGUUCGAGACCAGCCUGGCCAACAUGGCAAAACACUGUCUCUUCUCAAAAUACAGAAAUUAGCCGGGUGUAGUGGUGGCACCUGUAGUCCCGACUCCUCGGGAGGCUGAGGGAGGAGAGUCACUUGAACCUGGGAGGUGGAGGUUGCAGUGAGCCAAGAUCGCAGCACUGCACACCAGCCUGGGUGACAGAACAAGAGUGCAUCUCAAAAAACAACAAAAAAUCUUUUUACAUACAUCAUUUCACCCAUAAACAUUCCAUUAUAUAGCUCUAGCAGAUAAUUUAAAAAGUAUGUAAUCACAGUUCCAUCAUCGCACUUGAUAAUAUUAACAAUAAUUCCUUGGUGGCGUGUAAGACCCAGUUUAGUUCUUCUUAACUGCCUCAAAAAUGGCUUUCUACAUUUGGCUGUGGAAUCCAAAUGAGAUCUCCACAUUGCAUUUGGUUUUUAUGUCUCUGAAGUAUCUUUUUUUCUGACAGUGCCAUUUCCUUCCAUCCCGUCAGUUUGUUGGGGAGAAGGCCAUGUUGGCCCUGCAGAAUGUCCCACAUCCAGGAUUUGGUUGCCGGCAUCCCCAGUGGUGUCAUAGAGCAGGUCCCUCUGUCCCGGGACCUGCUCUAAACUCGUGGUUAGAGGCUUACUUGACUUGCCUUCAGGUUUGUGGCCGGACUCCCUCUGGGUGGGUGUGCUUCCACCCUUGGGGAGGCCUGUCAUACUUGGCCACACACUUGCAGUGAUGCAGACAGUGGCAGUGGCCCUGGCACCCACCUCAUGUGUUCACACUAAUCCCAUGACUUUGCGCUUUGUGGUCAGCGCAGCCGUGGAGAACUAUUGCAAAGGGCGACUGGCAGUUCUGUCCUUCCUUCUUCCUGUAUCAGUCAUGAGUCUUUAUAAAUAAAUUUUCCUCCUUAGCUCAUGUGGUUAUCCUGAACUUUUCUUUGUCUACUACAGAAAAGGAUUUUCCCUUUAUUUAUCAGUUUGCCAAUUAUCGGAGUAAUGAAUUGGUGCCCUACAAAUGCAGGGGUUUUGAUAGCUUAAUUUUUAAAAUGUAGGUAGGUCUCAUGAACUACUUGGAACAUACACUAAAAUGUAUCUGUUGUUCAUCUGAAAUUCAGGCAGGCCAAGCGUCCUGUGUUUUCAUUUGCUAAUCUGGCCACCCUUGCUGAGGCCUGUCACCUGGCCACCUCACAGCAUCACCAGGUCAGAGGAAGAGUGGUCGGGGCACUUCAUUGAGCCAAGAGAAAAGCAGGUGGGUGAAGCUGGAUGUGGGCACCCAGAGCCUCAGCAUGCAGCCCCUGGCAGUUCCUGCCAUGUGUGAAGGCAGCCAAGGGUGUGUGCCCACUGUACACGUCCCGGCCUUGGGAGGCUGUGCCACCUUCCCGGGUUGCUCAGGCUCCGCCUGCCACCGCCCCAUGGCUGGAGCGCAGUGUGGAUGGGACAGAUGUCACCAAGCAGAAGGACUGCCAGAUGAAGCUGCAGGAGUUUGUGGACUAUGACUGCAUCACCAACCGCAAGCGGGUCCUCAACAUCACCAACCUUGAGUUCUUUCGACACCCAGCGAGCGCCGACACCAUGGGGGUGUGGGGGAUGGGGUUGGGGCAGGGGUUCUGUGCUGUCCUUGGCAGUCACCUGAGAAGCACAGGACGAAGGUCUCAGAGUCUGGAAUACUGCACACGGCACACACUGAUUUUUCCUGUUUCUCUCAAAUUUUUUUCCUGUUUUCUUGCUUUUUUUAGAGAUUGGCCCACAGCUGUUUUUGUUUUAAUGUAUGAAGGUGACACAUUGUGAACAAUUCAAACAAAAAUAAGGAGCAAGAAGGCAAAGCCGCCUCUGACCUUGGCCACCCCCAUCCCACUCCUCGGAGAGAACCAUUGGUAAUGAAUGUCCAGCUUUGUGGAGCCACCUGACACCAUGAAGAAGCUGUUCCUGGUAGAAAACUGGCCAGAUGAUGCAUUGCUGGCCAAGCCCAGAGUGAGCAAGUCCUGCCUGAUCUGCGUGAAGGACAGCUACACCGACUUCCACGUCGACUGUGGGGGCGCCUCCGCCUGGUACCACGUGCUCAAGGGGGAGAAGACCUUCUAUCUCAUCAGGCUGGCCUCAGUCGAUAUCUCCUGUAUGAGUGCUGAUGGUCUGCCGCUAACCACAGCGAGAUGUUCUUUGCUGACCAGGUUCACAAAUGCUACAACUGCAUCGUCAAGCAGGGCCAGACCCUCUUCAUCCCCUCAGGCACUGACAGAGCUCUCGUGGGCCCCGAGCCCUGCAGCCUCCCAGGGUGGUUGUCCCCUGGUCCACCUCAGCUAUGCAGGGCCCAGAGGGGAAGCCUGAGCUGGUGUGUCUGGGGCCUGGACCCACCCCCAUCGUCGCCUGCUUGAUGGUCAGUGCACUGAGAAUGGCUCUUUGGUGGCUUCCAGAGCAUAUGAAGUUGAAAAGAGGUUGAAACUAGGCAGCCUGACUCAGUUUCCCAACUUCAGAACUGCCUGCUGGUACAUGGGGAAGCACCUGCAGAGGCGUUCAAAGGCUCUGCUUCUAGAGAACCCAAACUGACUGACUGUGCUGCAGAAAAAACAAUGAAGGCC